rnacentral:tRNA from 2 species
CGCGGAGUAGAGCAGUCAGGUAGCUCGUUGGGCUCAUAACCCAAAGGUCAUUGGUUCAAAUCCAAUCUCCGCAACCA